rnacentral:tmRNA from 1 species
GGGGGUGUACAGGUUUCGACUUGGAAGCCAAGUAGUAAAGGCAUGCGGAGGAGAUCGGUUGGCCUCCUAAAAAAACCGAUAAGACAAUAACUGUCAACGAACAAGAAGAGCAAUUCGCUCUUGCAGCUUAAGACCUAACCCGUCUUGAGUCGCCGAUGUCUUAAGAUUCGACCAAAGAUUUUAAGAGCCAUCGUCAUAAUUUUGGUAUGAGUUAGGGUCCUGGACUACUAAGGAGCCUUUCUCGAGAUCAUAAGUAGUAAACUCAUUUGAAGUGGCGCAUCUUCCAGCAAAGUGAGUUUAACAAAUAAGAUGAUAAGCAUGUAGUCGUUAUUAUGAGGUUUGCUAAGGACGAGAGUUCGAUUCUCUCCACCUCCAAUU